rnacentral:rRNA from 1 species
AACGAACGCUGGCGGCGUGCUUAACACAUGCAAGUCGAACGCGAACGUUUUCUUCGGAAAACUAGUAGAGUGGCGCACGGGUGAGUAACGCGUAAGUAAUCUACCCUCGCAUUUGGGAUAACCCACCGAAAGGUGUGCUAAUACCGAAUACGUCUGGAAUUAUACUUUGAAUCCAGAGAAAGGUGGCCUCUGAUUUAAGCUACUGUGCGGGGAGGAGCUUGCGUACCAUUAGCUAGUUGGUAGGGUAAUGGCCUACCAAGGCGAUGAUGGUUAGCGGGUCUGAGAGGAUGAUCCGCCACACUGGAACUGGAACACGGACCAGACUCCUACGGGAGGCAGCAGUGAGGAAUAUUGCGCAAUGGGGGCAACCCUGACGCAGCGACGCCGCGUGGAUGAUGAAGGCCUUCGGGUUGUAAAAUCCUGUCAGAUGGGAAGAAGUGGUAUCUAUCCAAUACGUAGAUACUUUGACGGUACCAUCAAAGGAAGCACCGGCUAACUCCGUGCCAGCCGCCGCCGUAACAC